rnacentral:tRNA from 1 species
GGCCCUAUCGUCUAGUGGCUAGGACACAUGGUUCUCAUCCAUGAAACGAGAGUUCGAUUCUCUCUAGGGCUA